rnacentral:lncRNA from 1 species
GCCAACCACCGCCGCCUACCAACCUACUUCUCCUCGUCAGAGCACCGAUGGGCCUCCUUCCUCCAAACGUACGACCACCCUCGUCUCCCCACCCCUACACUACACCUCCGAACACCACUCCGCACGACGACACCGCGCUCCUUCCAGCCACUAAAACUAUGGAGCCUCGACGUUCGUGGCUCUUCACCGCCCCGACCGACCACAACUCCCCACCUCAUCCAAGGCCAUGUCCCCACCCCCGCGACGUUCAGCCUUGAUGAACCCGACACAGCACCAGCGGUGUCCGACUUCCAUGGCCCCUGCUCUGCCUUGCAACCCCGUCCCACCUUGGUGUAUGCUCUGCCUGCAUCGUCCAGCGAUGGCGGUCAUGGGGAGGCGCUGGAUCCCGGUGAUAUCUUCCGUGAGAUGCCCUUGUUCCCUACACAUACCCCUAGCCCCCGGCACCGCCUCAAUCGUCGGAUCCGGUCGCCACUGGCCCCUGGCAUGGCCCUCCUGCUGACCACCACCACUAGUGGGAUCCUCCUCCACCUCCCUCCUUCCCGCACUUGUGCGCCUUGGUGGUCGCCGAAUCUAGGCGCCUCCAUCUUCCCCAGGUCAUCGACUUCCCUUGUCUCAUGCUCGUUGCCGGAUCUGGGGUCGUCCGGCGGGCGGAUCCUUAAGUGAGCAUGCCCCUGAUCCCCUAUUCCCCCUCUCCAAAUCUCUAUUGUUUUUUGCGAGGCUCCUAAUCUCCACUUUUGCAGGUGUGAUGCCGGCAAGGGCUCACCUGCACCAUGGCGACCGAGUGAGUGCCCCAUCAUCCAUUGACGUAUCCUCUUCUACACACCGAUGUGUGGGAUGACACGAGAACAGGGAGAUGACGCAUCCGCACGGGUGUGUAGUUUGUUGGCACGGCAUGUACAAUACACUUGGGCGAGAAGUUGCAGCUCACUACCGUCGGCGGCGGUUCACUUGCCAUGACGUAUUUUGGGUGGCAUAUGCGUACUGCAGUUUUGACUCUGCAUUCCAUUUCCACAUACGAAGGAUGCGCAUGGUUUAAAAAACCAUAGUGCACUCAUGUGGUUCUCUUUGUAUAAAACAAGAAAAAAGGGAAAACAUCGCGAGAAGUCGCUUCAUUUUGAAUGUAGUUCACUAGUAAAAAAAUCUGGAAACAAAU